rnacentral:rRNA from 1 species
AUUGAACGCUGGCGGCAGGCUUAACACAUGCAAGUCGAGCGAGCGGCGGACGGGUGAGUAAUGUCUGGGAAACUGCCUGCUGGAGGGGGCUAACUACUGGAAACGGUAGCUAAUACCGCAUACCAUCAGAUGUGCCCAUAUGGGAUUAGCUAGUAGGUGGGGUAAUGGCUCACCUAGGCGACGAUCCCUAGCUGGUCUGAGCGGAUGACCAGCCAUGCGGGAACUGUGACACGGUCCAGACUCCUACGGGAGGCAGCAGUGGGAAAUCGUGCACAAUGGGCGCAAGCCGGAUGCAGCCAUGCCGCGUGUGUGAAGAAGGCCUUCGGGUUGUAAAGCACUUUCAGCGAUGAGGCGUUACUCGCAGAAGAAGCACCGGCUAACUCCGUGCCAGCCGCCGCGGUAAUUC